ensembl:misc_RNA Metazoa_SRP Metazoan signal recognition particle RNA
GCCGGGCAUAGUGGCGCACGCCUGUAAUCCCAGCUACUUGGGAGGCUGAGGCAGGAGAAUCGCUUGAACCCAGGAGGCAGAGGUUGCAGUGAGCCCAGAUCACACCACUGCACUCCAGCCUGAGUGACAGAGUGAGACUCUGUCUCUA